AUGCACACCUUAAUUUUUAAAACCACGAAAGCCAAAAUCCAAAAAAAAAAAGAAAGAAAGAAAAAAAAGAAGCUAGCUCUUGCCUCACCUGAUGUCAACUUUUUAAAUGCUUACCAACACUUUAUUAUUACGCAUGUACCACACAUCUAUAUAAGGAAAUUAAUUCUUUCUUCCCUGGGAGACUAUACGUUAUUAGCAGUGAAUGCCCUAUUUCAUAGAACUAAUAUUGUACAAUUGCAGCUUCCAUAAAGGCUCUCCAGCCAGGCUAUAGCUGAACUGUAAUUUAAAUCCACAUCUUUCUACUAGCAUGGAAAUAGUCUUAAAACAGUUAAAAAUAUUUUGAAUUAUAGAUUGAAAAUUCUAUCAAUUUUUCUCUCUGAUCCUUCAGGCCUGCUGGAUUCCAACUCCUAUCACACCAUUACUACAGCAGCAUUAGAGGGCUACAGAUUUGCUAUCUUCACCCAUUAAAUACAGUAUUCUGAAUACUUGAAAUACCUAGAACUAUGUAAAAGAAAAUAUUUCCCAUACAAUCCACCCUGUACACUUAGGUCCUCUGGGGGGAGGCUACUUCAACCUGCCAGAACCCAACUGAUGGCCAUUGCCCAGAGGACCUUUUCAUCAGCUGCCGCGAGACUGUGGAAUGACCUGCCAGAAGAGCUCCAACAGUGAAAUUAGCUGUCAGAAUUUAAAGCACAUUUGAAGACAUAUCUCCUCCAGCAGGCCUAUCCAGCCAGUUUUAAUCAUGAGUUUUAAUUUGUAUCUUAUGUUUAACCUUUGUUCUGUUUAUUUUAAUAUAUUGUAGAAAUAUGUUUUAAUAUGUACAUUUUAUAAAAACGAUAAGAUGAAUAUGUGUUCUUAGUGUUGUUGUAACUCACCUUGACCCAUGAAGAGAGGCGGGUAAGAAAUAAAAUAAUAUUUUUCUUCUUAUUCUUACUUUAGAAUACAGAUAAGGGUUGUAAAGUUAAUGUGAUAAAAGAAAGUGAUUAUCUAAAAUUGGGUUGUCUUAAAUAUUUGCAGUAUAGUACUUUUUAUCACCAUGGUUAUUUAGGACCUGUCUAUCCAAGUCAUUCUUCACUUUCAAAUGGGCAUUCUUGUUAAUAUUGCAUAUUAUAUUAUAUUAUAUUAAUUUAUUUUUGUCCUUUUCCAAUAGUCUUACACUAUUUUGAUUGGUCCAAGACACUUUGCUGUUAGGGGCAGACCACGGAAUGUCUUCCAAAUUAAUGCAUUCAAGAUGUGGUAAAUCUUGAAUCCUCCUAACAGCUCUUCCACUACAUAUAUCAUAAUGACAAAGGAAAGAACUUGCAGUUUUCUUUCCUUUCAUUAAACUAAAUGUCAACUAACUGAGAUGCCCACUUCAUUUUUCCUUAUAUCCGAGAGCCACACCAAAUGUCUAUUUGCUUGGUGACACAAGCCAGCAUUCUUGUAUGAUUGUUUCUGUUUAGUAGCAUCCAAUAUAGAAAAGCAACAUUUCAAAGAUGUGGUCAAAAUUAUCAAAGAGAAACAAAGCAAGUGUUUAAAAACAGGCACUAUAUAUGAUGGAUGAUUGUGCAUUGUGAUGGUAGAGUAAGCAGAGUUUCACACGUAAAACUAUUUCAGUACAGCUUUCCAGUACACAGACAAGCAAUAAUAAUAACCACCUCACUCUUAUAUCCUGCCCCAUCUCCCCGAAGGGACUCAGGGCGGCUUACUUGGGGACCAAGCCCAGUAAUUCAAUUACAAUGAAUUAAAACAUAAAGCAUAUAAAAAUCAUAAAAGCAUAAACUCACCAACAACCGAUAACCAAUAACCAAUAACAAGCAAGUGAAGAUGCAUUCUUUCUAGGCAACAGCUUUUGUGUAGUACAAUUGUUUGAGUGGUCCGUCAUGUGUGCAUAGACCAUUUAUCCACAUAUGCGACUCUAUAGUUGUAUCCAAUAUAGGUGAUGUGUAAUGUCACUUAUUACUGUAUAUUUAUACUAUGCUAAAGUAAUAAUAAUAAUAAUAAUAAUAAUAAUAAUAAUAAUAAUACUUUAUUUAUACCCCGCCACCAUCUCCCCAAUGGGGACUCGGGGCGGCUAACAUGGGGCCAUGCCCAGAGCAAUACAACAUAAUAAAAUAUAAAAACAACAUAUCAUAGCACCAUUUAAAAUACAAUAAAUAAUAAUAAACAGAACAUCAAGAAAUCAAAAAACAAUAAAGCAAGGGCAGGCCGCGUGAACACAGAGAUAAAACCCGGAGUGAGAGGGACCGAGGAGUACUCCACUAUGGGCAGGGACAUUUGGAAGGGGUAAUCUAGAGGAUAGAUGUUCGGAGGGGAGUAAUACGGAGAUAUAUAACAGAAAUUACUCACCGAAAGCACAGCGGAAGAGCCAUGUUUUCAAUUCUUUCCUAAAAGCUAACAGAGUGGGAGCUUGCCUAAUUUCAGUAGGUAGUGAGUUCCACAGUCGGGGGGCCACAGCAGAGAAGGCCCUCUCCCUUGUACUUACAAGGCGAGCCUGGGAUAUAGGCAAUGGUGAUAACAGGGCCUCCCCGGAUGAUCGCAAAGAACGGGCAGGUUUAUGGAAGGAGAUACGGUCACGGAGGUAGGUGGGUCCCAAACCGUUCAGGGCUUUAUAGAUGAUGGUCUGCACCUUGAAUUGGGACCGGAAGAUGAACGGCAGCCAGUGGAGCUCUUUAAACAAGGGAGUGGAUCUCUCCCUGUAAUUUGCCCCUGUUAUUAAUCUGGCAGCCGAGCGUUGGACCAAUUGUAAUUUCCGGGCCGUCUUCAAGGGAAGCCCCACGUAGAGCGCAUUACAGUAGUCCAGUCUAGAGGUAACUAAGGCAUGCACCACCGUGGUCAAGUCAGACUUCACGAGGUAUGGUCGCAGUUGGCGCACAAGUUUGAGUUGUGCAAAGGCCCUCCCGGCCACCGCCGACACCUGUGCUUCAAGCGUCAGCGCUGAAUCCAGGAGGACCCCCAAACUGCGGACCUGUGGUUUCAGGGGGAGUGCAACCCCGUCCAGCACAGGUUGCCACCCAAUACCCCGAUCUGCCGCACGACUGACCAGGAGGGCCUCUGUCUUGUCGGGAUUGAUUCUCAGCGUGUUCCUCCUCAUCCAGUCCGCCACAGCGGCCAGGCACUGGUUCAGCAUCCGAGGGGCUUCCUUGGAAUCAGAUGGGAACGAGUAGUGGAUUUGCGUGUCAUCUGCGUAGAGAUGGCAACGCCCUCCAAAACUCCGGAUGACCUCUCCCAGCGGUUUCAUGUAGAUGUUAAAUAGCAUGGGGGAUAAGAUAGACCCCUGCGGAACCCCACAGGUCAAUGGCCAGGGGUCCGAGCAGGUGUCCCCCAGCUUCACCAUCUGGGAACGGCCCUCCACGAAGGACUGGAGCCACUGCAAAACUGUGCCACCGAGCCCCAUCCCAGAGAGCCUCCCCAGAAGGAU
rnacentral:lncRNA from 1 species